rnacentral:lncRNA from 1 species
UUCAAUUGAAAGCAACUAAAAGAAGGCUGGGCUGGGAUUUUUAGCUCAUCUGUAUUAUUUAGAAAGUAUCCUUUGACUUGUACUAUUAUCCCUGCGAUUGGGGGUGUGCAGUCGGCUAGUUUGGUUAAUUCGGUCUGAAAAAAUCAAUAAUUGAAUUAACUGAUUUUUAUUUUAUCAGUAACCGAAUCGACCAACAAAAUUUUAACUAACCGAUUUAACUGAACUAAUCAAAAAUCGGUUCGAUUCGGUUAAUUCGGUUAAAUAACCGAAUUUUUCAUCAUUUUUUCUCUUAUUUUGAAUAAUUAUUUAGCUACAAAUUCAAUCUAAUAAAACUCAAAUUCACACAUCAUUCAAACUAAAUCACUAAAGAAUUUAAUAAUUUUUAUAAUAUUUUGCAAGAAAAAAGACAAAUAAAUGCUCAUUUAAACUUAUUUAAUCAAAAUAAAUUAAAUAAUAAGUUUUAAAAAGUAUUAUUUUAACAUAUAUCAAAUAACUAACAAAGCCAUCAAUACAUAAUAAUUGUCAACAACACAUAAAUAAGUUUUCAAGAGUCAACAGGUCAACUUAAAAAAGCAAAUCAAGUAAAUAUGCAUCUCGUAACUUUGGUGCAAAACAUAAAAGACAUUUUAAGUUGACAAAUUGAGUUAACAACUCAUACAAAAUAUAAAACAAGUUAAGAACACUCCGAGUUGAUAAAUAGAUAUAAAAGUUUAUAAAAAAGUAUAAAACAAGCUAAUUAAAGGACAUUCCAAGUUCUAACAGCAUUUUUCAUGUAUGAACCCCAUAAAUUUGUUGCACAUCCUUCAUUUUUUCCUAAAAUGUUAAAGAGAUUAAAACUUUAAUUAGUUGUCAAUAAAUACAAUAAAUAUUUUUUAAAUGUAAAUAUUCAUAGAAAUUAAUAAUGAAAUUACCUCAAAAGGUCUAUGCACUUUUGUGUUAAUCAAUUACUGGAUCUAAGGUAAUUUUUGACAAAUCUAAAAAUAUAUAAACAAAAAAUAAUAAAAGUAAGCUUUAAACAAAUAAAAAAAUAAAAAAUAAUAAUCCUUAAAAAAUAAAUGACGGUAUAAAUAAAAUAUUACCUAAAUCCAUUUUGUCAAGUUGUAUCAAAUCAUCUUUAGGUUGAAAUGAAUCAAGAUUAGAAGAUCUACGUAACCAAUCUUGAGCACAAAUAAGGGCUUGCACAAUUUUAGGAGUUAAAGAGCUCCUAUAUGCAUCAAGCACAUGACCACCAGUGCUAAAAGCAGAUUCGGAAGCAACUGUGGAUAUAAGAAUUGCUAAUACAUCACGAGCUAGAUGGGAAAAGAUAGGAAACCUAUGGCUAUUAAGUUUCCACCAAGUUAAAACAUCAAAGUCAUCACUAUCAUCAUCAUCAGGCUCUUCACUCAAAUAUUUAGCCAAUUCUGAUUUAUGUUCAUCUUUGUCAUGUUCAAUCCUAUACCUCUUAUACUUGGACUUAAAGCUUUCUUUCUUUUUUGUCGUUCCAUUUUCACUUUCAUCAUCGGUGGGUUGUGACAUUUGGCUCACUUGAUUACUUUCACCAAUUUGCUCAGACUUAGGUUCUAACAUUCUUUUGUAUUCAUUAAAUAAGUCUUUUAUUGCUUGUUGUACUUUUUUAAUCAUCAAUGAAACUUCAUCAGAAGAAUACAUUUUUAUGAAGCAAUAUUCAACAAAAGGAAACUUUUUUGAAGGAUCAAGAAGAGAAGCAAUAUAAACCAACAUACUCAUCUUCUCUAUAUUUUCUCAAUACUUAUCAUAUUUAUCCUUCAUUCUCUUUGCCAUUGCAUUCAACUCAACAUCAGAAUUUAAUUGCCAUUCUCGCAAAGUGGAAUAAACAUCACAUAUAUCAUUAAGAAAAGUAUUAGAUGUGACGUAAGAAAUACCUGAAACUUUCACGGUGAGAUCAUAAAAUUGUUACAAGAAAAGGCAAAACUUCCUAACAAUUGUCCAAUCAUUUUGAUCAGGUACCCCAUCUCCCAUGAAAAGCUCACCUUUAUAAUAAAGAUCAACAUCAUCAAAUGCAUCAAAUGCCUUUUCAAACUUUUGAGCUACAUCCAACAUCAAAUAAGUAAAAUUUCAUCUAGUGCUAACAUCCAAACACAAUAAACUUUUACUUUGAAUAUGUUCAUUCACAAUACACUCUUUAAACUUAGCUAACCUGGAAGGUGAUUGUCUCACAUAUCUUAUUGCCCCUCUAACACGAGCAAUUGUUUCAUCAUUUCUUUCAAUCCAUCACAAACAAUAAGAUUAACAAUAUGUUGCAAUGCAUCUCAAAUGAAGAUAUUUACCUCCCAAAAUACUAGUUCCAGCAUUGUUAAAUUUUUUCCUCAAAUAUGCAAUUGCAACAUCAUUAGAACUAGUAUUAUCAACUGUAACAAUAAAAAUCUUAUCAAUCUCCUAAUCACGCAAACAUUUUUCAAUCGCCUUACCAAUAGCUUCACCUUUGUGACUAGAAAUGAGACAAAAAUUUAAUAUCUUUUUGUUUAGUUUUCAAUAUUUGCCUAUGAAGUGAGCCGUAAGACACAUAUAAUUGAUCCUUUGUAAUGAGGUCCAUGUGUCAGUGGUAAGAGAUACUCUUGUAAAAGAUGAUUUUAUGAAUUGCUUCAAAUGAGUCUUUUCAUCAAUAUAAAGCUGAUAGUAAUCCCUAGCAACUGUCCAUCGUGAUGGUACACGAAAUUUAGGACAUGUAAUGCCUAAAUCUUUCUGACUCCACAAAUCUAAAUAGUAACUCUUUUAGAAUGAUCAUUUUAGCUACAGCUUUUCUAAUAACAUCUUGAUUAAAUUUUCAAGUGCUUAAAGAUUUCACUCCUCCUGACGGCAACAUCAAUUCUGUUUGAGUUUCAUCAUCCCCACUAACACGAGGAAGCUUUUUACAAGAAUUCAUGUGAUUCUUUAAAGCGGUGGUUCCAUUCUUUUUAGGAUCAGUAAAAAAUUCUCUAUCACAAUAAUUACACCUAGCUUUACAAUUACCUUCCUCAUUAACAAAUUUAGUAAAGUGGUCUCAUACCUCUGACCAUGGCUUAGAUGCUCGUCUCAUCACUUUGAAAUUUACAGUUUCACUUUUUGUUACCUCAUUAUAUGUAGGAAGUUGAGAGGCCAAUUGUGUUUGAUUAGGUGUAGAAUCCAAAAUCAUAUCAUUCACUUCAUUUGACAUCUUCAAAAAAAAAAAAAAGCAAGUGAUCAAAUUAUAUCUAAACAAUAAAAAAUAAAUAAUUAAAUUAUAUUAAAAUAAUAAAUAAAAAAUAAAAUUAUAUUCAAAUAAUGAAAAAAUAAUAAGUAAUAGUCACAACAAUUAUUGAACGACAUUGGUAUUCCAAAUAAUGAAUAGUUUGUUAAUUCAAACUAUAUAUAGUUGCUUAUUUUAUCAACAAACAACUGUAAGUGUCUAGAAUUCUAAUCCCUUACUCCCAUCAAGUAAGUACUUUUUAUUUUUUUGCGAAAAAAAAAAAAGUCUGCCUAUCCCAAAAAACAAUCGUCUUCUGUGAUGUCAGGGAGAAAUCGUCUGCUCACUUGCGACAAGAGGGCAUUUUUCUGGCUCUCUUUCCAUUCGUUGAUUUCAUCUUUUACUCGUGAGUUGUGGGGAUCAUCUCGAAUCGUCUUAGUCCACAUCAUACCAUGGUUUGCCACACCAAUAUUUUUUUUAACAUUGAACAUAACACUUCUUCUUCAACUUCAAUGUAAAAGCUUUACUUUUAAAAAUGAAUCAAAGAUUGCGAGCAAAAAAGCAAUUACAGUUACCAGCUUAGCUCGAGGAAGAUUUAUCGAAGGAUAUGCCUUUGUAUAAGCAAAGAAAGAGCUUUGGGAAUACCAAACAAGUCAUCAACUUAUUUUACAAAGAAAAUUUGGCUGCUAAAAUCAUUUCUAUUGGUCUGGGAGAGGGAGGAGUUCAUUCAUCCUUUCACAAGGGGAUUCGCAAAGUAGAAGUCAUUAACCCGAAGAAUCAACCACUUUUUUUUUUUUAAUGGGCUAAGUUGGGGGAAAGAAAGAAUCAACCACUCUCUUUGGAUUUGCCCAAGAUUUUUGGAAUUCAUUUAUUUCUCUCAGGAGUGGCUUGCUUUGGCUUUGGCGCAUUUCAUGUAACGGGAUUGUAUGGUCCUGGAAUAUAGGUGUCCGACCCUUAUGGUUUGUAAAAAAAAAAAGUCAAGUUUAUGGCCCUCUAUAUAGAUAUCGAAACCUCAGCAAUUUUAGGGUCCGCUAGACCCAUGUACCGAACAAAUAUGUAGGAGAUGCGACAGUUUUGUUCUAGUCUAUGACAGCACUACAACUAACACAACUACAAGCUAAGGCACAAAAAUAGUACCAGUGAGAGCGAAGCAAGCUGGAACUGGCAGAAACUGUUAUUGAAAAUCUUGCUCCCUUCAUUUUUAUAAGUUAAAGCGUUUUCCUCGACUAAAAGGAGUAUUUUCACAGCUCGCUACAGAUACUGUAAAUCCAGGUGGGGCGUGAAAGGUUUUGAUCCUUUUGUUCCAGAACCUAGUCAAUCAAUUGGAGGAGUAAACAAGCCACUGAAAGUCCUAGACCUAUUCCUUUCGAGCUAAAGAUAGGGUCCAUCUAUCGAUUCACUCUAAACAACAAAAGGUACUGAAAAAUACCAGCAAAAAAAACAUUAUCGUGGGCACACCCUGGGGCUGGGGUUUGGCCGUUUGGGUUAUGCUUUAGCUUAAAACAUAUAGGAAGAAUAUAGCUCUAAACAUCAUGCUAAAAGAAAAAAUAAAGGUUAUUAAGAUUUAAGAACUUACGAUGGGGUCUUGGGCAGAUUGAUCUUUACAACUGUCUGAUCUUGUGUAGCAAAUUAGAGGGAGCAAGAGAUUAACAGGCAAGUAGCCAAGCAAGAGAGUAAGAGGGAGGCAAAGAUGCAAGAGAUUGAAGGAGACAAACUGCAAAGGGCAGAGGCAUGGUUAGAUGCAACAGAGGGGGAGCAAAGAGCAGAAAGGGGAAACGGCGUGGUGGAUGAAUUAAAAAAGGUAAGUUAAAUUUAAGGUUUUUUUAAGAGAAUUUACAUAUUUACCCUUAAUUAUUAUAAGAUCGGUUAAUUCAGUUAUCAAUUUUAAAAAUCGAUAAUCGAUCGAUUUAAUUAAUUUAACCGAUCUUAAAAUCGAUUACAACCGAAAAUCGAUUUAACCGAACCGAAAUGAUCAUAUUUCAUAAUUUCAAUCGAUUAAAUCGGUUAGAACCGAUUUAUGCUCACCCCUACCUGCGUUCCCCUCUAUUUUUGGUCUAAGAUUGAAUGUGAUGGCAAAUUGCUUGUAGGUUAAGUUAUGUGGGUUUUGAAUAGUGUAAGGUUUUCAUGGUAUUAAUUGAAAGCGGC